AUUGAACGCUGGCGGCAGGCUUAACACAUGCAAGUCGAGCGGAGAUGAGGUGCUUGCACCUUAUCUUAGCGGCGGACGGGUGAGUAAUGCUUAGGAAUCUGCCUAUUAGUGGGGGACAACAUUCCGAAAGGAAUGCUAAUACCGCAUACGUCCUACGGGAGAAGGCAGGGGAUCUUCGGACCUUGCGCUAAUAGAUGAGCCUAAGUCGGAUUAGCUAGUUGGUGGGGUAAAGGCCUACCAAGGCGACGAUCUGUAGCGGGUCUGAGAGGAUGAUCCGCCACACUGGGACUGAGACACGGCCCAGACUCCUACGGGAGGCAGCAGUGGGGAAUACUGGACAAUGGGGGGAACCCCGAUCCAGCCAUGCCGCGUGUGUGAGAAGGCCUUAUGGUUGUAAAGCACUUUAAGCGAGGAGGAGGCUACUGAGACUAAUACUCUUGGAUAGUGGACGUUACUCGCAGAAUAAGCACCGGCUAACUCUGUGCCAGCCGCCGCCGUAAAAC
rnacentral:rRNA from 1 species